CCUCCCAGACAGACGGGCCUCGAUCCCGUAAAUUCUUAGUUA
rnacentral:tRNA from 1 species